GUUACGCGCACUGAAAGGUUUGGGAAGCUGUUGGUAACUGUCGGAUCAAUGUUUCAUAUUUGAUUGCUGUUUAUUUUUAUAGAUGUUUACCGAUGGAUCUGUGAUGUGCGGCUCAGAAAUCUAUUUUUUUUUUACAUGACACUGUUUAAUUGCAGUUUAUUUUGCAUCGUGCGCAACAUCUCACGCGCCACUGGAUUAACAUGAACGUGCGCAGAUUUGGGAUUUUCGCAUCUCACUAUCCCAAAGCAGUCAUGUGUAUCCAGGACUCUCCGGCCAGUUAUGGUUCAGGAUUUGGCUGAAGAGUUGUCUGACAGAUAGUCAUAAUGGAGCUUCCUCAUCAUCCCCGACGAUGGCAGCGUAACUCAUCAGAGCAAUGAGGCCGAUGCAGAACAGGCCAUCCACAGUCUCCUUCCUGAUCUGAUGCAAUACAUUCUGGUUCUGCUGUGAGAUUUCGUCCAGGGCUCGAGUCACGCUGCCAAACUC